rnacentral:rRNA from 1 species
UACAGAGGGUGCAAGCGUUGUUCGGAAUUAUUGGGCGUAAAGCGCGUGUAGGCGGUUUGGCAAGUCGGGUGUGAAAGCCCUCAGCUCAACUGAGGAAGUGCGCCCGAAACUGCUGGACUUGAGUGCCGGAGAGGGUGGCGGAAUUCCCCAAGUAGAGGUGAAAUUCGUAGAUAUGGGGAGGAACACCGGUGGCGAAGGCGGCCACCUGGACGGUGACUGACGCUGAGACGCGAAAGCGUGGGGAGCAAACAGG